AUGUGCAUACAAACGGAAACGUUUUCUGAGAUCCAGAGUUUCAACUUGGCAAUGUUGGCCAAGCAAUGUUGGAGACUUAUUGAUAACUAUGGUUCUUUGUGUACACAAAUGUUAAGAGCAAGGUAUUACCCCAUAGGAGACAUCUUAAAUUAUCAACUGAAGAAGGGGUCAUCUUAUGUAUGGCAGAGUAUUUGGUCCGGCAUCCAAACAUUCAAGAAGGGAUGUAUUUGGAGAGUAGGUAAUGGAGAAAAGAUCAAUAUUUGGACAGAUUGCUGGAUUCCGAACAGUACUUCAAAGAAAAUUAUUACAGUUCGGGGUAACCAAGUACUCACAAAAGUUGGAGAGCUAAUUGAUCCCAUAAUGGGAGAGUGGGAUGAGAUGCUAGUUUGGGAAAAUUUCUGGCCAAUUGAUGCGGAUCGCAUACUACAGAUUGCAUUAUUUCAUGAGACGAAGGAUUAUGUCGCAUGUCAUCUCACGAAGAGUGGAGUUUUUUUGGUAUGUUCGACUUAUUACAAGCAAUGGGAAGCAAACUAUGAUCCAGAGGAGAGUGGGUUGGCUCGUUACUCCACAGCGCCCCAUCCAGUUUGGAAGAAUUUAUGGAAUAUGAAAGUACCAGCCAAAGUGAAAAUUUUCAUAUAGAGGGUCUUGCACAACGCCAUCCCGUGCUACAAUGGUCUUAUGAAUGGCCACGUCGGAAGGGUUUCUCAAUGCCCUUUCUGUCAAGCCAGGGCGGAAGACAUUUUUCAUAUGUUGUUUAAUUGUACUAGAUCAAAAGCAGUUUGGGAUGCUCUCAGGAUCGCA
rnacentral:rRNA from 1 species